UACGUAGGGUGCGAGCGUUGUCCGGAAUUAUUGGGCGUAAAGAGCUUGUAGGCGGUUUGUCGCGUCUGCCGUGAAAGCCCAGGGCUUAACCCUGGGUCUGCGGUGGGUACGGGCAGACUAGAGUGUGGUAGGGGAGACUGGAAUUCCUGGUGUAGCGGUGAAAUGCGCAGAUAUCAGGAGGAACACCGAUGGCGAAGGCAGGUCUCUGGGCAACUACUGACGCUGAGAAGCGAAAGCAUGAGGAGCAAACAGG
rnacentral:rRNA from 1 species